UGGAUUUUGCUCGUGAUAGUUAUCAAAGACGACCAUGUGGAUACCAACUUUAUCUCCAUCAGCUUUUUUUUAUCCAGAGUGACAUAUGGCGUCCAUCAAUUGGGCAGUAGUAAUUGAAAGGUACUAUUAGUUCCAUUAAAACUUGCUAGUGGCUAAGUAGACAUAGCGGUAGAUUACAAUCCUGCCUUUUUUAUUUCACUCUUUGGUUCCAAAUUUGCAAUGCCUUGAUGUAUUUUAUUGUAAAUUCUCUUUAAGAUAGAUUACCGUAGUCGAGGUAAGAGAGAGUGUAGUUGUCAAUGGUGAGAGAGUGUCUUCGAUCAUGGCUUCGUUUAAGUUUGAUUUCUAGUCUUUGAUUAUUCAUCUUUGUCAAGUUUUAUUAUUGGAAUUAGAGUUUCGCAUUAAAACUUUCAUGAUUUUCUGUAUAUCUAUCUUCUUUUUUGAAUCUUGAAUUUUAUUACUUGUUAUCUAUCUUCUUUUUUGAAUCUUGAAUUUUAUUGCCUGUGUUCUAUUUAUUUUAUAUAGAAAAUUUUGAUUUCUGGUCUUUGAUUGUUCGUCUUUGUCAGGGUUUCAUUAUGUGAAAUUGGAAUUAGGGUUUCCGAUUAAAACUUUGCUAAUUUUCUAUAUAUUUAUCUUUUUUUUGAAUCUUGAAUUUUAUUGUUAUGUGCUCUGUUUUUUUUUUAUUGUUGUUGUUGCUCAUGUGCUCUGUUUGUUUUGUAUAGACAUCGGCAACUGCGUUUGUCUUUCGUCGGAGAUAUAAUGGCUACACAAACUAGAUUGGAAUCUUGUUAUUUUCACUUUUCUUAUUUUUCUUGGCAACUGCAACCUUGUUUUGUGUUAUUUUUUCUAUUUUACAUUG
rnacentral:lncRNA from 1 species